GAGAAGAGGGAAGAGGAUCGGUGCUUCAGGUGCAUCGGGUGGGUGGCGAAUGGCGGGGGGGGAAGGACGAUUCCUUCUCCUCUGCUGCCCAGCGAAUCUGCCGAUGUGUACGUCCCCCAUCAUCUUCAUUUCUAGACAUUCUACAUCCAUGCUUGGUUGGACUCCGUGCUUUGUUGCGUUCCGAGUCGUGACUGAUUCUUGAACAUCUGCAUUUACUUCAUUCUUGGGCUCCUAUUAAUACGCCACCGGCAUCGAUGAAAACGGCAACUCGAUCGGAUGGUUUCGGUUCCGUUAGCUUUUAUUCACAGUCCGCAAUGGCAAUUGCUGUCUUUCAUGAGCACCGACGGAGUUGAAGUUGAAUUUGAAAGGGUUCGUGGAAACGUACUUAAAUUGUGUAGUCCAGCUUCAUGUGCAGAUACUUCUCUUCACUAACUGUUGUUGUCGGCUAUGUAGAAACAUUCAAAGUCUUUCUUCAAUAUGUAGGCCAUCUUAACGUGUACACACUUGCUGUCCCAGCUUGCCUGGCUAUUUUCUGGCAAUUUUAGUUGGCGUGUUCCCUUAUUGUUUGUUUGGUGUUUUACCAGGAUGGAAUCAACGUGCGGAGCAUGGGGGUAGGGAGAUGAGAGAAGCGUUAUUACCUGAUGAUUUUUGAAUCAUCUCUCUGGGCACCUCCAUACUGCUUUUUAGAAACUGCAAUGUGGCAGGCAUUUCCUUGUUUUGCCCUCCUGAACCUAAGCUUACUCG
rnacentral:lncRNA from 1 species